CCCAGUCCNNGRMGUUGUAAAACGACGGCCAGUGAAUUCGAGCUCGGUACCUCGCGAAUGCAUCUAGAUUCCUACGGGAGGCAGCAGUGGGGAAUUUUGGACAAUGGGCGAAAGCCUGAUCCAGCCAUGCCGCGUGCAGGAUGAAGGCCUUCGGGUUGUAAACUGCUUUUGUACGGAACGAAAAGACUCUGGUUAAUACCUGGGGUCCAUGACGGUACCGUAAGAAUAAGCACCGGCUAACUACGUGCCAGCAGCCGCGGUAAUACGUAGGGUGCAAGCGUUAAUCGGAAUUACUGGGCGUAAAGCGUGCGCAGGCGGUUAUAUAAGACAGAUGUGAAAUCCCCGGGCUCAACCUGGGAACUGCAUUUGUGACUGUAUAGCUAGAGUACGGCAGAGGGGGAUGGAAUUCCGCGUGUAGCAGUGAAAUGCGUAGAUAUGCGGAGGAACACCGAUGGCGAAGGCAAUCCCCUGGGCCUGUACUGACGCUCAUGCACGAAAGCGUGGGGAGCAAACAGGAUUAGAUACCCUGGUAGUCCACGCCCUAAACGAUGUCAACUGGUUGUUGGGUCUUCACUGACUCAGUAACGAAGCUAACGCGUGAAGUGACCGCCUGGGGAGUACGCC
rnacentral:rRNA from 1 species